AAAUGAAGAUUAAACAAACAAAAAACAGGAUGAAAUCCGAAUGCGUUCUGCGCACGCAUUUUUCAUUUUUGUACUUCCUGGUUCACCAUUGAGCAAAAUGGAGUCGAGUAGUCAGCAUUACACAAUUUAUCAAACUAUGGUACACCAUAACGUUACCAACAAGUACCAGCCACAUGCUCUCUAUCCGGCGUUAGAUGACACAGAUUCAUCUGAAUACACAGAUUCAUCUGAAUACGAGUACGAAGAAUACGAGGACGAGGAAGAAGUGUAUACAGGCUUUACACAGAGAGUUCAAAAACAGCCAAAAAAAAAGAUUGUGAAACCAAAGGCAAAGAAGGCUGUGCAGCCAAAACCAAAACCGAAAGGGGUAGUGACACCUGCGAAAAGAAAGGCUGUGACUGCAGGGCCUGCCAAGAAGAAAAAAGCAUACCCUGGAGCUGAAAAGGGCCAGGGUGGAGAGAUUAUGUUUGAGCUGUCUAUGAUGCGGGGAAUUUAAAGGAAAGCUAAUGGUAGGGAUCCGGGAGUAUUAUGAAGAAGGUGGCAAAUUGCUUCCAAGCAAGAAAGGAAUAUCUUUAUCCGUGGAACAGUGGAAUAGGUUGAAGGGACAAAUGAAACAGAUUGAUAAAGUUGUGAAAGAUCUCUCAUAAACUUUAUAUUUCAGUAUCCCGUACGUGUUAUGCGCCUGUAAAUUAAUUUACAUAUCAACUAAAAUGUGUUUAAAAUAUUCCGUUUAUAGGAUGCAACAGAAUUUUAUCUUUAUACAUUGUAUUUUACUGGAAGCUGUAUCGUUAACGGAUCAUGGAGAAGAAUUCUAUAAGACAUUGUCUUUCAUUCUUAUCCUUUCCUUAAUAUCAUGUUAAUUCGUUGUUGUAAUUGUACAAAUCUGUAAUGUACUCUUGGGAAUACAUGUGUUUAAACUAACGGA